CUUCGGAGAACGAUAUAGCUACCUAGUCUAAAUAUUUAAUUUGCGCUAUACGGUAUAAUUUAUAGUGGAACCAUGGAUCCUGAGAUUUUACUAAACAACCCUACUCAACCAGCGAGGAGGUCGACAAAAGUUAUGCCUGCCCAUACCAUAACCCCACCAACCCCCAUGGAGCAGUCUGUUCACAACGUUGACAUCAGCAAAUCCACUCACCCACACAACACCAUAUUCCCAGUACAAUUGAAACUGGGAUUCAUCAGUGAAAAGCACACUUGUCUAGCAGGCCAGGAAGGUGAGCAUCUGCCCACUGAAGUCGGUUACGAUGCCGAUCGGCAGUCAGGUCAAGACCCUGGUGAGAACGAUGAGCACCCAAAUGAGCUUCCCUGAGACGGUUUUGUACAGAAAUGAAUUGGUUGUGGAAACCCAGAGUUUCAUCAUCUGUCCGUGUGUGCACAGGGUAGAUUUUAUGAAUGAGUUUGUAUGAUAAUUCUUUCACCUUAUUAGAUAUACAAUAUUUACCAGAUAACAACAAAACUUUCUUCCAGUUCACUUGUCCUCGGGCUGCAUUCCAGUACAUUUUAGCAGAGGGAAUAGUAACAUAUUGACAUAGUUUCCUUAUAUACAUGUUAUUACAUUUAUAGUUUAAAAUUACAAUUCCUUCUAAUUGUAUUGAGGCUACAAAAUCCUCAACAGUUGCACUUGGAGUAUUGUUAUAUUCUCCUAAAAGAAGAAUAGCACCUUUAGGGACAGCUCUAACAACCAUUAGAUACUCAGGAGUGAAUGUAACAUUGUGUGUUCUAAUAAAUUCUGGAUAAUCAUAUAGUUGUCCAUCAUUGUUCAGUAAUUGUUUAACCCAAAUAAUGAAACCAGUUUUGGAAAAACAAA